AAUUAACUACACUCAAAAAAAAUAAACAUGCCCUAGAUGUGAUGUUAUACUUGACCACCAUUGCACCAACCACAGAUCCACUGAGCUCAGCCACCGUCCCUCCCUUUGCCGAAAACAGAGAGCUCCUCGCCUCUUCACUGUCCGUCGACCAGCUCUGCCCCAUAACUACCGGAGCUCCAGCCAAUUUCACACCGUCAAUCAUAGCUCCAGAAGACAGCUCCACAUUCACCUCCUUCUCAUAGAUUCACACUCGCAGACACAAAAGAUUUCAGCAAGAGCUUGAGGUCCAGUCGCCGCUCUGAUUAAGUUACAGUCCUCUGUUUCUUCUUCCCAAAAAUCGUAAGAAGCAGUUGAGGUACUUUUCCUGAGAACUCACUUAAGCCAAUUUGGUUUCAUUGGGAGGCCUAUUUUGCUGCUACAAUGUGUUAAAACUUGCCAUGCCGCAUCGUGGCGUUGGUCGGAGAAGCUAGUACAUCGAUCAUUCAGUGCUCUGUUUAGUAUUUGGACUAACAACUGCAAUACUCUCUUUGUUCUUCUGGGAGAAUCCUUUCUGGUUAUUGUGGUUUGACACAAUGCUCAACCUUAUUGGUAGACGUCGAUGUUUAUCUGCUGAACUAAACUCAUCAAAUGUGUUGUUGUUCAUAGAUUCUUCAGCAAUCAUGCAAUGGCACCGAUCAAUGACCACUAGUAAAAGAGUCCAAGACAGAAGCAAGAAGAAGCGGGUGCAUGACCUUGAAAUAGUCACAGAGAAACACAAAAUACUCUCCAAAGUCCUAUUAAUAUUUGAAGUCCUUAAGAAGGAGCCUCAACAAAUCAUAUCGAUUAGGGAACUUGAUGAUUAUAGAAGACAACUAAACCUCCCAAAACCCCAUAAAAUCUCGGCCUUCCUACGGAAAUCCCCCAAGCUUUUUGAGCUGUACAAGGAUGAUAGAGGGAUCUUGUGGUGUGGUCUGACAAAGGAGGCUGAAGAUUUAGUCCGGGAAGAGGAGGCUAUUAUUGAACAACACAGUGAUAAAGCUGCAGAGCUUGUGACUAGGAUGCUGAUGAUGUCUGUAGACAAGCGCCUUGCCUUAGAUAAAAUUGUUCAUUUCAGAAGAGAUUUGGGGUUGCCAAUGGAUUUUAGGAACCAUUGGGUGCGGAGGUUUCCUGAUCACUUUAGAGUUGUUCAGCCAUUCAAGCCUUAUGAUGAAAGUGAGUACUUAGAGCUUGCAAAUUGGAAAUCAAGUUGGGCUAUGACAGAGUUAGAAAGAAAGGCGUUGGGGGUUAUGCAGGCCCCAGAUGAUCACGUACCUGGUCCUCUUUCCUUGUCUUUCCCCAUGAAAUUUCCACCUGAUUAUAAACAAGUGUUGUCCAGAUAUAAGGGGAAGAUAGAGGAUUUUCAGAAGCGGGAAUACUUGUCACCUUAUGCAGAUGCCAGUGAAUUAAAGGCUGGAACACUGGAAUUCAAUAAGAGGGCAGUUGCAGUGAUGCAUGAGCUGCUGAGUUUUACAGUCGGAAAGAGGUUGGUGACAGAUUACUUGACUCAUUUUAGAAAGGAGUUCGUAAUGCCUCAGAAACUGAUGAGACUGCUGCUUAAACAUUUUGGGAUCUUUUAUGUUUCAGAAAGAGGCAAAAGGUUUCAUGUAUAUAUCAACAGUGCUUAUGAAGGUUCUGAGUUGAUCGAGAAACAUCCUUUGAUUGUUUGGAGGGAAAAAGUUCUAAGCUUUGUUGGUUACAGAAAGAAGAAGGAAACAAUGGACACUCUUACAGAUUUGCAGGAAUAUGAAGAUGAUGAUAUGUUUGAGAGUGAGUCAGAAGAUGAAAAUGUUCAAGUGGAAAACAACAAGCUGACUAUGGGUAGUUUAGAGGGAGAUUUUCUGGAAAAUGAAUCCGAGAUGGAGAUAAAUGAAGUUUGUAGUGCAUACAGGGAAUGAGAAGUUAGCAAUGCAUACUAGCAUGAAGAAUCUUGAAGUCAGGAAUCUUCUUUCACUGCAUACUGUAGUCACAGUUUGAUCUUAAUUGACAUGUGUUUAUCUGCACAUUCAUUGAUUGCAUAAAGUAGCAGCAGUUCUUGGUUUACUCCUUGUUCUUCCAAGAUUUAUUUAAUCUUAAAACCGUUUUUCUUUUUGCAUAAAAUAUAGAGUCAGAUCAUUUCUUCAAUGCACUGAAAGGUCAUGGUGCCCUUUGUUGCCAUGCAAUUCUUCCAUAUGAGAGUCACGGUAUUGGAGCACGUGAGAGUAUAAUGCAUGUACUCUGGGAGACUGAUAGGUGGCUUCCAAAGCAUUGUGUAUAUACUUCAGAUGUCUAGGCAGAUCUUAGAGUGUGCAAGGACAAUGCAGAAGGGACAGUAGAUUUACAGCGCGAAGCUGUUGGUGCAGCUGGAGGUGUUUAAAAGCUUGCCAAUAUGGGUGACGACAAAUUUCACUGUAUCAGAAGGUCUUUGUUGUGAUUCUAAGGGUGACAGCUACCUGGAGAUGAAGCCACGAGUAUCUGGUAAGGUCCGCUUGCUGACCACUUAUACAAAAAUCUAUAUCUAUAGCAACAAUUAGAACCCUCGUAAAACAGUGUGUUUCUUUAUGACAUGGCCUCAUUGGUGACUAUACUGCGUUCUGCUUUGUGCGGUUACAAUUUAGAUGUGUAAAGCCAUUGUUCAUUAAUUAAAGGGAAAGUUCAUAUUGGUUA